rnacentral:sRNA from 12 species
UGGAAUUGCAGAUAAAGCGAUGCCGUAUCCUUGUGAAACCGAAUGAGCGUUUCAGCAAAAUGUGCUGUCGCCGGACACAAGGGCCGCCUUUUUAGGGGGUUUUAUAAGCUA